rnacentral:rRNA from 1 species
AUUGAACGCUGGCGGCAGGCUUAACACAUGCAAGUCGAGCGGAGAGAGGUAGCUUGCUACUGAUCUUAGCGGCGGACGGGUGAGUAAUGCAUAGGAAUCUGCCUAUUAGUGGGGGACAACAUUUCGAAAGGGAUGCUAAUACCGCAUACGCCCUAAGGGGGAAAGCAGGGGAUCUUCGGACCUUGCGCUAAUAGAUGAGCCUAAGUCGGAUUAGCUAGUUGGUGGGGUAAAGGCCUACCAAGGCGACGAUCUGUAGCGGGUCUGAGAGGAUGAUCCGCCACACUGGGACUGAGACACGGCCCAGACUCCUACGGGAGGCAGCAGUGGGGAAUAUUGGACAAUGGGGGGAACCCUGAUCAGCCAUGCCGCGUGUGUGAAGAAGGCCUUUUGGUUGUAAAGCACUUUAAGCGAGGAGGAGGCUACCGAGAUUAAUACUCUUGGAUAGUGGACGUUACUCGCAGAAUAAGCACCGGCUAACUCUGUGCCAGCAGCCGCCGUAACAC